AUUGAACGCUGGCGGCAUGCCUUACACAUGCAAGUCGAACGGUAGAGUAGCAAUACUUGAGAGUGGCGAACGGGUGAGUAAUGCAUCGGAACAUGCCCAGUCGUGGGGGAUAACGUAGCGAAAGUUACGCUAAUACCGCAUACGAUCUAUGGAUGAAAGCGGGGGACUCGCAAGAGCCUCGCGCGAUUGGAGUGGCCGAUGUCAGAUUAGGUAGUUGGUGGGGUAAAAGCCCACCAAGCCAACGAUCCGUAGCUGGUCUGAGAGGACGACCAGCCACACUGGGACUGAGACACGGCCCAGACUCCUACGGGAGGCAGCAGUGGGGAAUUUUGGACAAUGGACGAAAGUCUGAUCCAGCAAUGCCGCGUGCAGGACGAGGGCCUUCGGGUUGUAAACUGCUUGUGUACGGAGCGAAAAGCUUUGGAUUAAUACUCCGAGGUCAUGACGGUACCGUAAGAAUAAGCACCGGCUAACUACGUGCCAGCAGCCGCAGUAA
rnacentral:rRNA from 1 species